rnacentral:rRNA from 1 species
UACAGAGGGGGCCAGCGUUAUUCGGAAUUAUUGGGCGUAAAGGGCGCGUAGGCGGCUUUGCGUGUCUUUCGUGAAAUCCCUCGGCUCAACUGAGGACGUGCGGAAGAAACUGCAGGGCUGGAGUCCGGGAGAGGAGGGUGGAAUUCCCAGUGUAGCGGUGAAAUGCGUAGAUAUUGGGAGGAACACCAGUGGCGAAGGCGGCUCACUGGACCGGAACUGACGCUGAGGCGCGAAAGCGUGGGGAGCAAACAGG